rnacentral:rRNA from 1 species
ACGCACGCUGGCGGCGUGCUUAACACAUGCAAGUCGAACGGAAAGGCUCCAGCUUGCUGGCGUACUCGAGUGGCGAUCGGGUGAGUAACACGUGGGUAAUCUGCCCUGCACUCUGGGAUAAGCCUGGGAAACUGGGUCUAAUACUGGAUAUGACCUUUCUCCUUAUGGGGUUUGGUGGAAAGUUUUUCGGUGUAGGAUGAGCCCGCGGCCUAUCAGCUUGUUGGUGGGGUGAUGGCCUACCAAGGCGACGACGGGUAGCCGGCCUGAGAGGGUGAUCGGCCACAUUGGGACUGAGAUACGGCCCAGACUCCUACGGGAGGCAGCAGUGGGGAAUAUUGCACAAUGGGCGGAAGCCUGAUGCAGCGACGCCGCGUGAGGGAUGACGGCCUUCGGGUUGUAAACCUCUUUCAGCAGGGACGAAGCGUAAGUGACGGUACCUGCAGAAGAAGCACCGGCUAACUACGUG